GUCGCUUGGAGAUCCACUUUACUAUGGUAAAAUACAGCCAUGUAAAGCAGAUGAAGAAAGUGACAGCCAGAUGUCUCCAUCACACUCGUCCACAGAUGAUCAUUCAAAUUGGUUCAUUAUUGGAUCAAAGACCGAUGCUGAGAGGGUAGUCAAUCAGUACCAGGAAUUAGUCCAGAAUGAAGCCAAAUGUCCGGUCAAGAUGUCACACAGCUCCAGUGGCUCAGCCAGUCUGAGUCAGGUCUCUCCAGGGAAAGAAACAGAUCAAACUGAAACCGUGUCAGUUCAGUCUUCGGUAUUGGGGAAGGGUGUAAAACAUCGACCCCCACCAAUCAAACUUCCCUCAAGCUCAGGAAAUAGUUCCUCAGGUAACUAUUUUACACCACAACAGACAAGCAGCUUUCUCAAAUCUCCAACUCCUCCUCCUUCUUCUAAGCCAUCAAGUAUUCCUCGGAAAUCAUCUGUGGAUCUCAAUCAAGUUAGCAUGCUUUCUCCAGCUGCCCUAUCACCUGCCAGCUCAUCACAAAGAUCUGGAACUCCUAAGCCAUCUACUCCUACACCAACCCCUUCAUCGACCCCACACCCUCCUGAUGCUCAGAGCUCAACUCCUAGUACCCCUUCA
rnacentral:sRNA from 1 species